rnacentral:rRNA from 1 species
ACUCCUACGGGAGGCAGCAGUGGGGAAUAUUGCACAAUGGGCGCAAGCCUGAUGCAGCCAUGCCGCGUGUAUGAAGAAGGCCUUCGGGUUGUAAAGUACUUUCAGCAGUGAGGAAGGUGGGUAUGUUAAUAGCAUAUUCAUUUGACGUUAGCUGCAGAAGAAGCACCGGCUAACUCCGUGCCAGCAGCCGCGGUAAUACGGAGGGUGCGAGCGUUAAUCGGAAUUACUGGGCGUAAAGCGCAUGCAGGUGGUUUGUUAAGUCAGAUGUGAAAGCCCGGGGCUCAACCUCGGAAUUGCAUUUGAAACUGGCAAACUAGAGUACUGUAGAGGGGGGUAGAAUUUCAGGUGUAGCGGUGAAAUGCGUAGAGAUCUGAAGGAAUACCGGUGGCGAAGGCGGCCCCCUGGACAGAUACUGACACUCAGAUGCGAAAGCGUGGGGAGCAAACAGGAUUAGAUACCCUGGUAGGUUCUGC